rnacentral:rRNA from 1 species
UACGGGGUGCAGCAGGCGCGAAACCUUUACACUGCACGACAGUGCGAUAGGGGGAUCCCAAGUGCACAGGCAUAGCGCCUGUGCUUUUCGGUACCCUAAGGCGGUACCAGAAUAAGGGCUGGGCAAGACCGGUGCCAGCCGCCGCGGUAAUACCGGCAGCCCAAGUGAUGGCCGAUCUUAUUGGGCCUAAAGCGUCCGUAGCUGGCCACGCAAGUCCAUCGGGAAAUCCACCUGCCCAACAGGUGGACGCCCGGUAGAAACUGCGUGGCUUGGGACCGGAAGGCGCGACGGGUACGUCCGGGGUAGGAGUGAAAUCCCGUAAUCCUGGACGGACCGCCGAUGGCGAAAGCACGUCGCGAGAACGGAUCCGACAGUGAGGGACGAAAGCCAGGGUCUCGAACCGGAUUAGAUACCCGGGUAGUCCUGGCCGUAAACAAUGUCUGCUAGGUGUGGCUCCCACUACGAGUGGGUGCUGUGCCGCAGGGAAGCCGCUAAGCAGACCGCCUGGGAAGUAC